UUAAUUUGAGAGUUUGAUCCUGGCUCAGGACGAACGCUGGCGGCGUGCCUAAUACAUGCAAGUCGAACGAACUCUGGUAUUGAUUGGUGCUUGCAUCAUGAUUUACAUUUGAGUGAGUGGCGAACUGGUGAGUAACACGUGGGAAACCUGCCCAGAAGCGGGGGAUAACACCUGGAAACAGAUGCUAAUACCGCAUAACAACUUGGACCGCAUGGUCCGAGUUUGAAAGAUGGCUUCGGCUAUCACUUUUGGAUGGUCCCGCGGCGUAUUAGCUAGAUGGUGGGGUAACGGCUCACCAUGGCAAUGAUACGUAGCCGACCUGAGAGGGUAAUCGGCCACAUUGGGACUGAGACACGGCCCAAACUCCUACGGGAGGCAGCAGUAGGGAAUCUUCCACAAUGGACGAAAGUCUGAUGGAGCAACGCCGCGUGAGUGAAGAAGGGUUUCGGCUCGUAAAACUCUGUUGUUAAAGAAGAACAUAUCUGAGAGUAACUGUUCAGGUAUUGACGGUAUUUAACCAGAAAGCCACGGCUAACUACGUGCCAGCAGCCGCGGUAAUACGUAGGUGGCAAGCGUUGUCCGGAUUUAUUGGGCGUAAAGCGAGCGCAGGCGGUUUUUUAAGUCUGAUGUGAAAGCCUUCGGCUCAACCGAAGAAGUGCAUCGGAAACUGGGAAACUUGAGUGCAGAAGAGGACAGUGGAACUCCAUGUGUAGCGGUGAAAUGCGUAGAUAUAUGGAAGAACACCAGUGGCGAAGGCGGCUGUCUGGUCUGUAACUGACGCUGAGGCUCGAAAGUAUGGGUAGCAAACAGGAUUAGAUACCCUGGUAGUCCAUAUCGUAAACGAUGAAUGCUAAGUGUUGGAGGGUUUCCGCCCUUCAGUGCUGCAGCUAACGCAUUAAGCAUUCCGCCUGGGGAGUACGGCCGCAAGGCUGAAACUCAAAGGAAUUGACGGGGGCCCGCACAAGCGGUGGAGCAUGUGGUUUAAUUCGAAGCUACGCGAAGAACCUUACCAGGUCUUGACAUACUAUGCAAAUCUAAGAGAUUAGACGUUCCCUUCGGGGACAUGGAUACAGGUGGUGCAUGGUUGUCGUCAGCUCGUGUCGUGAGAUGUUGGGUUAAGUCCCGCAACGAGCGCAACCCUUAUUAUCAGUUGCCAGCAUUAAGUUGGGCACUCUGGUGAGACUGCCGGUGACAAACCGGAGGAAGGUGGGGAUGACGUCAAAUCAUCAUGCCCCUUAUGACCUGGGCUACACACGUGCUACAAUGGAUGGUACAACGAGUUGCGAACUCGCGAGAGUAAGCUAAUCUCUUAAAGCCAUUCUCAGUUCGGAUUGUAGGCUGCAACUCGCCUACAUGAAGUCGGAAUCGCUAGUAAUCGCGGAUCAGCAUGCCGCGGUGAAUACGUUCCCGGGCCUUGUACACACCGCCCGUCACACCAUGAGAGUUUGUAACACCCAAAGUCGGUGGGGUAACCUUUUAGGAACCAGCCGCCUAAGGUGGGACAGAUGAUUAGGGUGAAGUCGUAACAAGGUAGCCGUAGGAGAACCUGCGGCUGGAUCACCUCCUUUCUAAGGAA
rnacentral:rRNA from 2 species